rfam:Angiostrongylus cantonensis strain Taiwan genome assembly, scaffold: ACAC_contig0000154
ACCUCAUUGGCUCAGGGGCAGAGCGUCUGUCUUGUAAACAGAAGAUCUCUAGUUCGAUUCCAGCAUGAGGCA